AAUGAGAUAGAUUUUUCAGUUUUAAAUACUUGAAUCAAAUUGUCUGCUAGUUCUUAUUUUAAAAUACGAAUAAUGUAUAGAAAAAAUGUUUUAAUUUCCAGUACCUAAAGGUCGCAAAUAUAAUAUAAUGAAGACCCUUCAUUUUAUGAUGGCAUUGAAAUGUUUGUGGUUUGUCUUGUCAACAAAAUACUCGAAGGAGCGUCAAGUCACCAUCAAUAAAAAAAUAAUAAUAAUAAUAAUAAUAAAAAAACUAAGGGGGAAAAAAUCUACUUAUGUAGAUCGGAGUGGUGGUAAAAUGGAAAACGGCGGUGAUCGACUAUCGGACAAAUGCUGAUAGACAAUGACGUGUGUUUGGCGUUAGCGAGCUGUAGCGAUUUCCGAUCGACCGCCAUGGCAACCUCGGCAAAUUGUUUUCAGCAUUCUGCAGUGCGGCUACAAUACACACGUGCCAAAAUAAACAAACAGCGAGAAAAAUAUUUUACUUCGAGAAUUAUACAUUAUAUAUAGGCAUCCACUGUAUAAAUAUCCGAAGUAUAAUAAAGUGCCGAUCAUCCGGUUGAUUCGAAAC